rnacentral:rRNA from 1 species
AACGAACGCUGGCGGCAGGCCUAACACAUGCAAGUCGAGCGCUCUCUUCGGAGAGAGCGGCAGACGGGUGAGUAACGCGUGGGAACCUACCUUUUGGUACGGAAUAACUCAGGGAAACUUGUGCUAAUACCGUAUGUGCCCUUCGGGGGAAAGAUUUAUCGCCAAAAGAUGGGCCCGCGUUGGAUUAGCUUGUUGGUGGGGUAACGGCCCACCAAGGCGACGAUCCAUAGCUGGUCUGAGAGGACGAUCAGCCACACUGGGACUGAGACACGGCCCAGACUCCUACGGGAGGCAGCAGUGGGGAAUCUUGCACAAUGGGCGAAAGCCUGAUGCAGCCAUGCCGCGUGAGUGAAGAAGGCCUUAGGGUUGUAAAGCUCUUUCGCCAGGGAAGAUAAUGACUGUACCUGGUAAAGAAGCCCCGGCUAACUCCGUGCCAGCAGCCGCGGUAAUACGGAGGGGGCUAGCGUUGUUCGGAAUUACUGGGCGUAAAGCGCACGUAGGCGGAUUAGUCAGUUGGAGGUGAAAUCCCGGAGCUCAACUCCGGAAUUGCCUUCAAUACUGCUAGUCUUGAGUCCGAGAGAGGGUGGUGGAAUUCCCAGUGUAGAGGUGAAAUUCGUAGAUAUUGGGAAGAACACCAGUGGCGAAGGCGGCCACCUGGCUCGGUACUGACGCU